rnacentral:lncRNA from 1 species
UCCGUGCAGGGCUGGGUGGGUGCCGUGGGGCGCGCAGGAGCUGCGCCGUGCUCCCUUCUCCCCUCACCUCCUUUAUCCUCAGCCCCUCUCCCCCACAGCCCCUUCCCCCUGGGGACAAACGGUGACCAGCUCCGUGUCACCGUGCUGCUGCACCUCCCCGUGCUCGGGGCGCGCUUCCCACCCUUUCUGCCCCAAACCCCGCCACGAACCACCCCGGGAAGACCCCAGCCCCUCUCCCCGAUCCCUCACACCUACCUCCGCCGGCCAGGACCCCCAAACCCGGGGCGGGAGCCGGGGUCCGUGUGGGGUUUGGGGGUGCUGGCGGUGGGGCAAUGCUGCCGCCUCGCCCGCGGUUGCGCCGCCGCUGAGGGCAGGAAGCGGCGAGCGAAGGCGCUGCACCGCGGGGCCAGGAGGGGCCGACGUCACGGAAAGGCGGCGUGGGGCUGCGGGUGGCACCGGCGCCGGCGGGGGUACUUGGGGGGGGGGCGGCUCCUCGCCCCUCUCCCUCUCUGCCCCGAGCACCUUCGGGUGCCGGUUCCCUGCUGCGAAAGCCUUGAGGAGUCCCCGGGGGGCACGGGUUGCGCCCGGUGGUGGCCGUGCCGAUGGGGGCAAACUGCAGCCCCUUGGCCGCCCACCCCGCAGCACGUCUGCACCCCCAAAAAUCUCUUUAUUUGUCCCAGCUCUGCCUUGUUUUCUCCCCGCAGGGCUCUGCCUUGCAGCUGGGCAGGGUUUUAGGGCUGGAGCUGGCUUCCAGCCCUCGCACCGGGGCUUUGCGCAGGAGCCCACGGCGCGACCCCAGCCCCACGGCCGCGGUGGGGGGGCGCGAUGCCCCCCGGCGCUCUCCACCUUAAGAAAGCCGUCCCUCCUCUCUCUACCUUCACACCCUCAGCUCUGUUUCCCCUCCGGGCAGUUGGGUUACAAUAUUUUUAUCGGCUGGGCAGGUUUCCUGUUUGCAAUCCUCGCGCUCACGGGUGCGGACGGAGCGACCGCGGCGCUGGGUGCCCGGCACCGGCCCCGAUCCUGCCGGCUCCCGGCCACCCCUCGAGGGGCCGAGGCAGCGGAAACGCCGAGCGCUGUGACCCUACAAGGCCUCUCCCAGCUCCUCUCCGCAGCUGGCCGGGCGGGGACAGCGUGGGGGGGUUCCUCCAGGGACCGUGGGAGCAGAGGCGCGCGGAGCUUUGCGCUUCCUGCUGCUUUUCCUCAGCCUCUCCCCAGCGGCAGCCGGAUUCCGGGAAAAAAAAGGGGAUUUGGGGGAAAAAAAAAAUCCCCCACACGGUUGGGUUGCAGGAGGAAGGCUGGAGCUGCGCAGGGAGGUGGUGAGGAGCACAGCGUGGUCUCGUCCCACGGGGGGACGUCGCCCCCGGAGCUGGGCAGAGUGAUGGCUGAGGACGGGGGGGUCCGGGGGGGCGGCCUCCAACAGCACCCAGGUGAGCCAGCAGCCAGGAGGAAGCUGGGGGGGGGCUCCUGGAGGUGAUUUUUGGUGCAAGGC